rnacentral:misc_RNA from 1 species
GAUGAAGAACGUAGCGAAAUGCGAUAAGUAGUGUGAAUUGCAGAAUUCAGUGAAUCAUCGAAUCUUUGAACGCACAUUGCGCCCUUUGGUAUUCCAAAGGGCAUGCCUGUUCGAGCGUCAUUUGUACCCUCAAGCUUUGCAUGGUGUUGGGCGUCUUGUCUCUAGCUUUGCUGGAGACUCGCCUUAAAGUAAUUGGCAGCCGGCCUACUGGUUUCGGAGCGCAGCACAAGUCGCACUCUCUAUCAGCAAAGGUCUAGCAUCCAUUAAGCCUUUUUUUCAACUUUUGACCUCGGAUCAGGUAGGGAUACCCGCUGAACUUAAGCAUAUCAAUAAGCGGAGGA